rnacentral:lncRNA from 1 species
GCACAGCUGGCUGCUUUAUAGCUUGCUCCCUGGGAGCAACGGCAGGCCCCGGGCUGUCUGGAGAGCUGGUUGUGUGCAGAGGAUGAGCUGAGAGUGCUUAUUAGUGGCUGGCAUUUGUAAAGCAUCUUACUCAGGUCUCUCAUGGACACCAUUCUCUUUUCUCAAUCUGAGAAAGACAGUGGGGUUAACAGUACUGGGCCAGAAUCAAGGGUGAACGCACACGAUGUCAUGAGAUGAGGGUCUGGCAUGCAGUAAGUGAUUGUAAAUGUGCUUUGGUUUUCCUUUCUGUCUCUGAUUGUUGCAGGGAGACGGUGCUGAGCUUGCUUCUCGAGACCGUGAAGUCUGUGUCUCGUCCUCCCUGCCGCUCGUCUUUCGCCGCAGAAUGUGAUCCAUCCUGGCAGAUUAAUACCCAGCAAGAGUCCUGCUGUCAGUGGGCAUUUGAAUGGUGUGUUUAA